AUUGAACGCUGGCGGCAGGCCUAACACAUGCAAGUCGAACGAGUGGCGGACGGGUGAGUCAUGUCUGGGAAACUGCCUGAUGGAGGGGGAUAACUACUGGAAACGGUAGCUCAUACCGCAUACCAUCAGAUGUGCCCCGAUGGUAUUAGCUAGUUGGUGGGGUAACGGCUCACCAAGGCGACGAUCCCUAGCUGGUCUGAGAGGAUGACCAGCCACACUGGAACUGAGACACGUUCAAGACUCCGACGGGAGGCAGCAGUGGGGAAUAUUGCACAAUGGGCGAAAGCCUGAGGCAGCCAUGCCGCGUGUAUGAAGAAGGCCUUCGGGUUGUAAAGUACUUUCAGCGGGGAGGCGUUACCCGCAGAAGAAGCACCGGCUAACUCCGUGCCAGCCGCCGCGGUAUAC
rnacentral:rRNA from 1 species